rnacentral:rRNA from 1 species
UCGAGGAUCUUUGGCAAUGGGCGCAAGCCUGACCAAGCGACGCCGCGUGCGGGAUGAAGGCCUUCGGGUUGUAAACCGCUGUCGAGGGGGAUGAAGGGCACGGGGGUACUCCUCCGUGUCACGCCUGACACAUCCCUGGAGGAAGCACGGGCUAAGUUCGUGCCAGCAGCCGCGGUAAGACGAACCGUGCGAACGUUGUUCGGAAUCACUGGGCUUAAAGGGCGCGUAGGCGGCUUGCCAAGUCUGCGGUGAAAUCUUUCGGCUCAACCGGAAAAUGGCCGUGGAUACUGGCGAGCUCGAGGGAGGUAGGGGCAGUGGGAACUUCCAGUGGAGCGGUGAAAUGCGUUGAUAUUGGAAGGAACGCCGGUGGCGAAAGCGCACUGCUGGAUCUCUUCUGACGCUGAGGCGCGAAAGCUAGGGGAGCAAACGGGAUUAGAUACCCCCGUAGUCC